rnacentral:rRNA from 1 species
UACAGAGGGUGCAAGCGUUAAUCGGAAUUACUGGGCGUAAAGCGUGCGUAGACGGUUACAUAAGUCGGGUGUGAAAUCGCCCGGCUCAACUGGGCGGGUCGGCGGAUACGGCGUGGCUGGAGCAAGCUAGGGGGUAGUGGAAUUCCCGGUGUAGUGGUGGAAUGCGUAGAUAUCGGGAGGAACACCAGUGGCGAAGGCGGCUACCUGGGCUUUGCUGACGCUGAGGCGCGAAAGCGAUGGGGAGCAG